UUUUUAUUUGCUAAUUUUGAAUAUACCAUUGUGUUUGUGAGAUUGAAUAGACAAAUUUUCAUUAUCUAUUAGCUUAAUUCCAUAAAAAAUUGAUAAAGUUAUGAUGUUUUUACAUUUUUGUCGUAACCAUUUUUUUGCUAUGGAAAUAGUAACCAAAUAUGGAGUUAGGGAAGAUGAAGUCUCCCUACACCCCUUGAUUACCCAGCACACCCCUGUGAGGUCCCUCUCCUUUAGGCCUAGAGCACUUUUCUAACUACACCCUCAAUUUUCAUCCUUUUUUUGUCUUUUGUAUAUUUUUUUAUUUAUUAUUUUUUAAUUAUUGCUUUACUUAUUUAUUUUUGUUCUUUCUUUUAUUUCCUUUAGUUUUUUUAAUUCUUUUACCUCUUAUAUUAAUAGAAUCCCCCCUCCCUUUUAUUAUUUCUUUUACCUUUCUUAUUGCUUUAGUUUUUAGUUUUUUUAUUGUAUUUUUUAGUUGAUGCAUAAUUAUUAAUCCAAAAAGACAAAAUGACCAUUAGAUUUAAA
rnacentral:lncRNA from 1 species